rnacentral:rRNA from 1 species
GACGAACGCUGGCGGCGUGCUUAACACAUGCAAGUCGAACGGAAAGGCCCUGCUUUUGUGGGGUGCUCGAGUGGCGAACGGGUGAGUAACACGUGAGUAACCUGCCCUCGACUUUGGGAUAACUUCAGGAAACUGGGGCUAAUACCGGAUAGGAGCUCCUGCUGCAUGGUGGGGGUUGGAAAGUUUCGGCGGUUGGGGAUGGACUCGCGGCUUAUCAGCUUGUUGGUGGGGUAGUGGCUUACCACGGCUUUGACGGGUAGCCGGCCUGUGAGGGUGACCGGCCACAUUGGGACUGAGAUACGGCCCAGACUCCUACGGGAGGCAGCAGUGGGGAAUAUUGCACAAUGGGCGGAAGCCUGAUGCGGCAACGCCGCGUGCGGGAUGACGGCCUUCGGGUGGUAAACCGCUUUCGCCUGUGACGAGGCGUGGGUGACGGUAAUGGGUAAAGAAGCACCGGCUAACUACGU